rnacentral:rRNA from 1 species
UACGGAGGGUGCGAGCGUUAUUCGGAAUUACUGGGCGUAAAGCGCGUGUAGCCGGCUUGGCAAGUCCCCUGGGAAAUCUGGCGGCUUAACCGUCAGGCGUCCAGAGGAUACUGCCAGGCUUGGGACCGGGAGAGGUGAGAGGUACCUCAGGGGUAGGGGUGAAAUCUUGUGAUCCCUGAGGGACCACCAGUGGCGAAGGCGUCUCACUAGAACGGGUCCGACGGUCAGGGACGAAAGCUGGGGGCACGAACCGG